GGCGUGCUUAACACAUGCAAGUCGAGCGGAAAGGCCCUUCGGGGUACUCGAGCGGCGAACGGGUGAGUAACACGUGAGUAACCUGCCCCUGACUCUGGGAUAAGCCUGGGAAACCGGGUCUAAUACCGGAUAUGACACUCCUCCGCAUGGUGUGGGUGUGGAAAGUUUUUUCGGUUGGGGAUGGACUCGCGGCCUAUCAGCUUGUUGGUGGGGUGAUGGCCUACCAAGGCGACGACGGGUAGCCGGCCUGAGAGGGCGACCGGCCACACUGGGACUGAGACACGGCCCAGACUCCUACGGGAGGCAGCAGUGGGGAAUAUUGCGCAAUGGGCGAAAGCCUGACGCAGCGACGCCGCGUGGGGGAUGACGGCCUUCGGGUUGUAAACCUCUUUCAGCAGGGACGAAGUUGACGUGUACCUGUAGAAGAAGCGCCGGCUAACUACGUGCCAGCAGCCGCGGUAAUACGUAGGGCGCGAGCGUUGUCCGGAAUUAUUGGGCGUAAAGAGCUCGUAGGUGGCUUGUUGCGUCUGCCGUGAAAGCCCGUGGCUUAACUACGGGUCUGCGGUGGAUACGGGCAGGCUAGAGGCUGGUAGGGGCAAGCGGAAUUCCUGGUGUAGCGGUGAAAUGCGCAGAUAUCAGGAGGAACACCGGUGGCGAAGGCGGCUUGCUGGGCCAGUUCUGACGCUGAGGAGCGAAAGCGUGGGGAGCGAACAGGAUUAGAUACCCUGGUAGUCCACGCUGUAAACG
rnacentral:rRNA from 1 species